rnacentral:lncRNA from 10 species
AGAAAUUUGGAACCUUUUUGCCAUGGAGGGUGAUGGUGAGCUUAGUGAUAACAAGAAUUUCCCAAUUAUGGCAUCUACCUUUCUAAUCAUCUCUCCUUCCAUGUGAUACUGUUUUUAUAUAGUUUGUUUUGCCUGCCUCCCUCCCUUCCCAUCUCUCUUCUUUCCUCCCUUCCUUCUCUCCUUUCCUUCCACUCUUCUUUCCUUUAUGGGAAAAACCAUUCUAAAUCCUUCAAAUUGUGGUUUGAGUUUACAGUCUUUUAUUGAAAUUACAUGUUGGUAUGCUAGGAGUAUAUGAAAGCUUUUUUUCCAAUUUGCAAAGAAUGUUUAUAUGAUUUUAUUAUUUUUAUAUGAUUUUUGUAUUAAAAUCAUCCCAGAUAUCCCCAAAAUAGAAUGCAAAGUUUACAUUUUAAAUUUACUUUGAAAUUUUAAAUAAAUUUUCUUCUAAGUUGUCUUUGGAUUACAUAUCCAGACAGAUUGGAGGCAUCAAAAUACUUCCCACUCCUUUUUCAAUGUUGUUAGGGAUAUUGCUAUGACAUUUUUGAGAAGUAUUCGAAACAACUCUAUUAAGAUAAGCUCCUUUUCUUUAUUGUCUUCAUCUUAUAUCUCUGGCUGUCAAUGAAAUUCUAUCAUUUCCCACUCAAAGCCCAAUUGAUCUCUGGAAGGAGGUGGGGUGUGCCCUUGUAUGAGCUCUUAAGAAUUUAUUUAGCAUUUUUUUCUAGCUCUUCCAUCAGUGAAAUCAAGAUGGUAGCUGAAAUUUACCACGGUGGAGGAUAUUUACAUCACAGAAAUUGGCAAAGGCUACAAAUAAGUUUAAUUUUUUUUUUUUUAGAACUCGUUAAGUAUGUACCAGCACACCCUGUAAGGUUGAUUGAUGCUUGAUCUAGGUGUCUUCCGUAUGCUUUGUGUGUUACUCCUGUGGCUUUACCAGCUAUUAUGCAUUAGUCUCUGGGGAUAAGGGAAGUAAUAAACCUUUGUCCCAGGUCUCAUAAAUAGCUUGGUUAUUAAUCAAAUGAUCAUUUGGUCUGGCUUCCUUUGUUCGGUCCUAUGCUUGUAAGUAUGGAUGUGUUAGCUCUAGACAGAACCAUAGAUAAGGGAGCUAAAGCCCAGAGUGAUUAAUGACUUACAAGGUCACAAUUCUAGUUAGAGGGAAAGAUGCUGGGACAAGAAUCUGGGUUUUCUGAGUCCCAGGUAGGUUUUGUUGCUGUUAUACAACUCUCUAAUAAUUUUCAAAAAAUCCUAAAUCAUAAAUAUUCCAUUGUAAUAAGCUUCAGAAAGCAUUGCAAGCCACAGAUUUAGCUCUAAUACUAUUAAUCUUUGCUUUUUUUCUAAUCUAAAAACUAGGAUACAUUAAGAAAAGUAGAAAAUGUAAAAAUAUUGGUAAAAAACCAAAACUCCUAACAAAUUAAUAUAUAUAUGUUAAGAGAGACAUACGUUUAAACAAUUUACUAUCAUCUGUCAACUUUUAAAGGAAUGCCUGGAUGUAGCUCUUAUGACUUUCAAUCGAAGUGACACAAUUUUUCCAGUAAUUUUAACUGUUUCUCCCAGCUUGCUUGUUAAAGAAAUCUGUAACAUCUUUAGCAAGAAACAGAAAGACAGAGGGCAGCAUGGGACCAGAGUGCAGCUGUCCUUCAGAAGAACCUGACUGUACAACUUGCACAUCUGAAGAGGUAGCCAAGAAAAUAGAGAAAAGAAUGGGAAGUGGAUCUACCCACAUCCUCUCCCAUCCCCUCCAGAAAGAAAUGCAGCAUCUCUUUCUCAUUGUUUAAGAAGAAAAGGGGGAUCUCGGAGACAAAGCCAAUGAAGAAUAAAUGAGUGCUCUGCCAGUUCAAAGUCAAUGUGAAGAUUGGAUGGGGAAGCGUGCGGAGCUCAGAAGCAUUUUUUUUUUCCAGAGCAAGAGAAAAUCCAGUGACUGAAAAAGAAUAAGAAGAAAAACACUGACCAAGGCAAUAAUUCCAAGAAGUCAAAAAUUAAGGCCUGAGAGGAAGAAGGCAGACUAAAGAAAGUAGGAAAGAUGCAAGGAGAAAGACAGCCAUCUGCAUACCAGGAAGAGGGCCCUCACCAGACACUGGAUCUGCUGCAUCCUUGAUCUUGGGCUUCCAACCUCUAGAACCAUGUGAAAUACAUUUCUGUUGUUUAAACCACCCCAUCUACAGUAUUUUGUUAGGGCAGCCCAAGCUGACUCAGAUAGCCUUAUUACACCUUAUUUUAGUAAUAAUAAUCAUUUCAUUAAUAAUAAGAUCCCUCAAAGUAGCUCCUCCCCUACCAGCACCACCCAUUCUUUCUCGUAUCUGAUGGCCAUGCUGAUUAUCUGGAAGCCAUUAUGUUGAAGGAGCAACAAUUUUAAACCUUGUAGAGUCCUGUGAUCUUGGCAUCUUCUCUCAAUCUGUAUGCUUAUUCAAUCUGCUCUGAUGAUAACAAUUCUCCUGAGGGGAAAAUUUAGGAAUUGUUUUAUUCAAAUUACUAAGUUUUUUUUUUUUUUUUUUUUUUGCAUAACUGUUAAAGAAAAUAUUUGUGGGUGAUAGAAAAUGACUGAUUUUACCUUAAAAAAAGAUUAAAAUGAAGAUUAAAAAAAAGUUCCCUUGCCAUGAAGGGAACUGGAUGUUUUUUCCCAUAUAUAAUUAAAAACAGUGGGAUAAAGGGGUAAACACUAAGGAUGUAUAUUUAUCUCCUCUCCAUUUUAGAGAAAUGCACUGGGUGAUGUAGACAAACAAUUUGCCUAAUACUGUUAUUGAACCUGGUGGGCUGGGCCUGGCCAAAGUCAGCUUUUCCUCCUCUCUCUGGAUCAAAUUAUGGUGAUGUAGCUGACAUUCAAUAAACCCCAAACACAGGCCACGUGCCAGGAGCACUCAGGUUACAAGACAUGACCUCCACCUUCAAGACGAGGAGGUAGAAUUGCUGGGUCCCUGAGACUGGGGCUUAGUCUGUCUCAUUCACUCUUUCAUCUCCAGUGCCUACCACAGCACCUUGUCCAGGGUACAAAUUUUAAUAACAAUUUAUCAAAUGAAUAAGUGGAUUCUGUCACAGUAUAGCAGUGAUAUUCUGGAAGCUUAACCAAAUUAAUAAAUUAUGUGGCCUGACAUGCUGGUGUGUGCCUGUAGUCUCAGCUAUGUGGGAGGCUAGGUGGGAGGAUGGCUUGAAUUCAGAAAUUUGAGUGUUCAGCCUGGGCAAUAUAUUGAGAUGACCUCACUUCUGAAACAAAACAAAAUAAAAUAAAACACUAAAAACAAUAAAGCGAAACACAAAUAAAUUAUGAAGUGAGUAUAAUUAGUUUUACCAGUGUUGGAAUGUGAGGCGAGGAGGUUUCUGAGCGUGACUCCAUGGAGCAGGUGAAUUGGGGUUUUGAAGGUUGAGUACAAGUUUUUCAGAUGAAGUAGAAAGGGGCAUUUCAGUGGUUGUUGAGACCAGUGGCAGGUAGACCAGUUAAGGAGCUAGUCUAGUAACCAAAGCAAGUGAGGGUGAAGACCUGGCUGACGGUAGUGUCAGUGGGAUUGGAGGAGGAAGAGAUUGGGAAUUUAUAUGAGAAAAUCAAAUAAAUGCCACUUUGAUGCUGACUGAUAUGUACAACUGGGUCACUGAGGAGUCAGGGAAGGCUCUGAGGCAUCCUGGGAGGGAGGGCACUGCAUCAGUUCUGUACUUUCUUCAACUCCACCUAAUUUUUCUCUCCCAACUAGGACAAAAGCUUGUUAAGAGGAACUUGACUCUUUGUUCACUGCUGAGUCUUCGGUGCCCAGAACAGAUCUUGGCACAUGGGCAUUCAACUUCUGCAGACUGGAUGAUUUAGAUGUUGCAAAUGCCAUCUUCAAGGAUGCCCAUACUUCCUGGAUUCUAACUACCUUGAUAAAGUUUCAUUGCUUUGUUUUUCUUCUGUAUUUCAGUAUGGAGACCUUCUAUGUCCAGACUUAAUCAAUUUUCUGUACUUGUCCAUUCUGCUUCUGCUGGUGUUUUGCAGUAAGCCAGAGGUAAGCAGGAUAUUGUGGACUAUAGGAAGAGGUUAAACAGGUAACUCUGAUUAGACUUUCACAAUGGGGUCCCUAUAUUGCAUUUACAUCGCCAUGGAAAGGGCCUUUUAUCAUAAUAAUUCUAAUAAUAACUGGUAUUUAUUUAGCACCUAGUACGUAGUAGGAACUCUGCUUAGCACUUUAUAUAAAUUAUUUCAUUUAAUCUUUCUAACAACGCUGUAUUAUUUAAUCUUUACAACAACUAACUAUGGUUUUUAUUUCCAAUUUGUAGAUGAGAAAAUUGAUGCUCAGAGGUGUUGUGCAACUUAGAAAUGUACUGCAGCUAGGAAGCCACCUGCUGGUUUCUCAUUACAGCUAAGGUGCCAGAGCUAAGGAAUAACACAUGCCUGUAACAUGAGCACUUUGGGAGGCCAAGGCGGAUGGAUCACCUGAGGUCAGGAGUUCGAGACUAGCCUGGCCAACAUGGUGAAAUCCCGUCUCUACUAAACAUACAAAAAUUAGCUGGGCGUGGUGGCAGAUGCCUGUAAUCUCAGCUACUAGGAAGGCUGAGGCAGGAGAAUUGCUUGCACCUGGGAGGCAGAGGUUGCAGUGAGCCGAGAUGGUACCAUUGCACUCCAGCUGGGCGACAGAGCGAGACACCAUCUCAAAACAACAACAACAAAAAAAAACAAAAAGGGAUGGUCAGACCAGGAGAUGAAGACCCAAAGAGGUCCCUUUUCCUAUGAUGCUGUCAUAAUUUUCAUGCUCCUGAUUAUACCUGCCCAAUUAUUAGCAGACAUAUAGACAAUAGCAAAUCUCAAUUCACAGUCACAUGGUGGAAUUCCUUUGCUUAAUGCCGUAAAUUCAUCAAGAGAAAGGGAAUGGUUUUUGUUACAACUGUGAAUUAAAGGUAGGUGGUGACUAAUCAGUUAGCCAAUGCAUGUCCCUUGAGAUAAGAAAGUCAACUUCUUGUGAUAUUCAGGGUUCUCAGAUGUGAUCCCAAAACAUUAAUGCCAGAUACCUGCGCUCCUACCUGAGACAAACUCAUGGUUUCAGAGAGCAGAAGGUCAAAGCACUAAAAUGAAUGCAUUAGAAUUAAGCUGGCUUCCAUCACAAAGCUUCAUAUAAAUAUUACACCGGCUCUAUAAGACACUCAAUGUUUGGUUUCUGAACCUAUUAAUAUAUAAUGAGGAUACGAUGUAAUUAAUAUCGUUUGUUUUGAUUUUCUGUUAAAUCCGCUUUAGUAAUAAAGAAUGCAAGGUAAUUAUUCAAAAAGGCUUUUCAA